GAUGAACGCUGGCGGCGUGCCUAAUACAUGCAAGUCGAGCGAACAGACGAGGAGCUUGCUCCUCUGACGUUAGCGGCGGACGGGUGAGUAACACGUGGAUAACCUACCUAUAAGACUGGGAUAACUUCGGGAAACCGGAGCUAAUACCGGAUAAUAUAUUGAACCGCAUGGUUCAAUAGUGAAAGACGGUUUUGCUGUCACUUAUAGAUGGAUCCGCGCCGCAUUAGCUAGUUGGUAAGGUAACGGCUUACCAAGGCAACGAUGCGUAGCCGACCUGAGAGGGUGAUCGGCCACACUGGAACUGAGACACGGUCCAGACUCCUACGGGAGGCAGCAGUAGGGAAUCUUCCGCAAUGGGCGAAAGCCUGACGGAGCAACGCCGCGUGAGUGAUGAAGGUCUUCGGAUCGUAAAACUCUGUUAUUAGGGAAGAACAAAUGUGUAAGUAACUAUGCACGUCUUGACGGUACCUAAUCAGAAAGCCACGGCUAACUACGUGCCAGCAGCCGCGGUAAUACGUAGGUGGCAAGCGUUAUCCGGAAUUAUUGGGCGUAAAGCGCGCGUAGGCGGUUUUUUAAGUCUGAUGUGAAAGCCCACGGCUCAACCGUGGAGGGUCAUUGGAAACUGGAAAACUUGAGUGCAGAAGAGGAAAGUGGAAUUCCAUGUGUAGCGGUGAAAUGCGCAGAGAUAUGGAGGAACACCAGUGGCGAAGGCGACUUUCUGGUCUGUAACUGACGCUGAUGUGCGAAAGCGUGGGGAUCAAACAGGAUUAGAUACCCUGGUAGUCCACGCCGUAAACGAUGAGUGCUAAGUGUUAGGGGGUUUCCGCCCCUUAGUGCUGCAGCU
rnacentral:rRNA from 1 species